GAAAUCGUUGAAGUGGAACCGGAGAGAGUUGACGUAGUAUGGUGGAUAAGUAUUGCAAGAAUCGCUUCAAACAAUGAAUGUGAUCGAGUAAUAUGUACGUCACCAAAGACUGCGCUGACAGCAUCGACUACACGCUCUGAACUGUGUUGACAUGUUGCCUAUUCUAGUAUAUAGAAUGGUGUCUUGUGUUACGUGGUGAAGUUUGUUGUUAUGUUGUUGAUGUUGAUAAGUAUGAUUAUACACCAAGUAUAAUUAUGUCAGUGUAAAAGUCAACCACCUCUCCGACCCGUCUUGAAACACGGACCGAGGAGUGUAACUUGUACGCGAGUCAUUGGGUGGAAAAACCUUAAGGCGAAACGAAAGUGAAGGCACGGUUAACCGGCUGACAUGGGAAACGUGCGGUAUUGUUAGCGAGACGUUACACCAUGGCCCUGUCUUGUCUGCAUGCAGAUGGGCAGCGGUAGAGCGUACAGGUUGCGACCCGAAAGAUGGUGAACUAUGCCUGAGCAGGACGAAGUCAGAGGAAACUCUGGUGGAAGUCCGUAUCGGUUCUGACGUGCAAAUCGAUCGAUAGACUUGGG
rnacentral:rRNA from 1 species